rnacentral:lncRNA from 1 species
CGAUCAUUGGAAGCAAUCUUCACUGGCACAAGGAUCUCCUCACAGCAACCUCCACUACGAUAGAAACCGACAAUGAGUUUACGAAGGCUUCGAGUAGUGCGGGAUAGGCUAAUCACCAGACUGCUCUGGAAUAGGUUAAUCGCUGGAGACAAGAACGAGUGAAUCUAGUUUCGAGAGCAUGCCUUACUCUAAUAGGGGGCGUAGAGUUUCUAAGUGAAGGCAAGCGCAACUAUAUAUGUAAUAUCCUAGCUGUCAGCAAGGCAGGUCCGCUAUAAAGCCUACCGGCCAGAAAGUCCUUAAGAACGAGAAAGCCGACUAAAAGGCUAUUCCAUAACCGACUCUUGUUGCCGAGUCGAGGGGGCUUGGCUGGUACCAGGCUCUAAAAGAGUUUUCUUCGAGCGAGCGGUCUUUCUAUCUUUUUGGGUUGCAUGCCCAAGGCAAUGCUUUUUGUAGAUUGAGAUGGAUUGAUCUUCGCUAUCGUGCCUCCUCCUUGUACCAGUUGAUGCUGGGGCAGUGCUUAAUAUGAGUUUUCUCCUGCCCCAGACAGCUUCGAGGUUCCCAUCGAUCGAUUACAGAGGUUUCUACCACUGAACUUGCUUAUG